rnacentral:tRNA from 1 species
CGAGAUAGAGCUUGAUCAGUUAAGCGUUCCAUUUACACUGGGGAUUAAUCUGUGCAAUUCAGUUUGUCUCGA